rnacentral:rRNA from 1 species
UACAGAGGGGGCAAGCGUUGUUCGGAAUUACUGGGCGUAAAGGGCGCGUAGGCGGCUCAUGAAGGCUGUGGUGAAAGUCCGGGGCUCAACCUCGGAUCGGCCGUGGCGACUCGUGGGCUGGAGCACUGUAGAGGCGGGUGGAAUUCCGGGUGUAGCGGUGGAAUGCGUAGAGAUCCGGAAGAACACCAGUGGCGAAGGCGGCCCGCUGGGCAGUGGCUGACGCUGAGGCGCGACAGCGUGGGGAGCAAACAGG